ACGCUCGACACCUACGGGGCAGCAGUGAGGAAUAUUGGUCAAUGGGCGCUAGCCUGAACCAGCCAAGUAGCGUGAAGGAUGAAGGCUCUAUGGGUCGUAAACUUCUUUUAUAUAAGAAUAAAGUGCAGUAUGUAUACUGUUUUGUAUGUAUUAUAUGAAUAAGGAUCGGCUAACUCCGUGCUAGCAGCCGCGGUAAUCUGAGCGGGCUGGCAAGGC
rnacentral:rRNA from 1 species